GACGAAGGAUGCAAGCGUUAUCCGGAUUCAUUGGGUUUAAAGGGAGCGUAGGUGGCCUUAUUAAGUCAGUGGUGAAAUCUUCGAGCUUAACUCGGAAAUUGCCAUUGAUACUGUAGGGCGUUGAGUAUAGUUGCCGGUUGGCGGAAUAUGACAUGUAGUGGUGAAAUACAUAGAGAUGUCAUAGAACACCGAUUGCGAAGGCAGCUGACGAAACUAUAACUGACACUGAGGCUCGAAAGUGCGGGGAUCAAACAGG
rnacentral:rRNA from 1 species